GAUGAACGCUAGCGGCAGGCCUAAUACAUGCAAGUCAAGGGGAUAGCAAUAUCACCGGCGGACGGGUGCGUAACGCGUACACAACGUGCCCAAGGGCGGAGGAAAGCGGCGGGAAACUGCCGGUAAUACUCCAUGGUGUUGUUGAGUGGCAUCACUUAACAACUAAAGUACAAGCGCCCUUGGAUCGGUGUGCGUUCGAUUAGCUAGUUGGCGGGGUAACGGCCCACCAAGGCUUCGAUCGAUAGGGGGUGUGAGAGCAUGACCCCCCCANACGGGUACUGAGACACGGACCCGACUCCUACGGGAGGCAGCAGUAAGGAAUAUUGGACAAUGGGCGGAAGCCUGAUCCAGCCAUGCCGCGUGAAGGACGAAGGCGCUCAGCGUUGUAAACUUCUUUUGGAUGGGAACAAUAACUCCGACUUGUCGGAACUUGAGGGUACCAUCAGAAUAAGCACCGGCUAACUCCGUGCCAGCAGCCGCGGUAAUGUAUCGU
rnacentral:rRNA from 1 species